CACCACUAGGUUCCCCUCAACUCCAGGAACAAAGCCCAUGUGUUAUUUGGGACGUUGGAACGGUUGGCCGACCAUCACCCGUGGUGGCUGGUGCGGCAGCGCACAGCCAAGGAGCUGACAUUGUGUUUUUAUGCGAACUUCGUGAUUCUAAUUAUGUUUUUGAGACCUAAUUGUUGUGGUUUGAAUAUUAAUAUGAUUGUAGUAUAUGUUGGAUUAAAUGAAUAUAUUCGGAUCUGGUUUGACUUUGGAAAUGUGAAUUACGAAUGGCUUGAUCCCUGUUUAAGGUACGUAUGCAGUCUAACAAGACAUUAGAUAUAGCCAUACAAUUAGUGAGAUUAAAUAAUCGAGACAAAAGCCUUGUUUGGGGAAUUGAGCAAUGUGAAGGAAAUUAGUGGAAUGUGAGAUUUAACCUUAUGAUUUGGUGGUUAAAUGUUGGUCAUAAAUCAAUGUGUGAUGAAUCGAGAAAUUGAAGUAAAGAAUCGUAAGUAUUGAUGGCUAAUUAAAUUAGUGUUUAGUUGGGCUUACCACCAAUAAUUAUUUCAGAAGAUAAAUAGUGCGGGAGUAGGGUGUUAUUGAUUGUGCAUUUUACGCCGUAUUAUAUAUUUGGAAAUAUUAUGAAAUGAUUGAGUUUUAGAUUGCAUCAUGGCAUAUUCAUAUGGAUAUUACCUGAACAUAAUUAUUGUGAACGCUUUGAAGUGCGAAGAAGAACGCAGGACGCACAGGUAAGUUAAGGUGAGUUUAUGGUAUAAGUUGAAAUGAUUGAGUUAUGGCAUGACUACAUAUACAUUUAUGCAACUCCGACA
rnacentral:lncRNA from 1 species